rnacentral:rRNA from 1 species
AUGUCCCCCUUAUGGCCUCUCUUUCUCAGAUAUACUAUGUUCUUGACCGUGUUUGGAUGGUCCAUCUCUUUAACGACCCCCUGCAGAUUAACAAGAUCCUCAACAACACGUUGGGCAUCGUCAACGGAGCCUCCACCAGCACUAGUCUUUGGAGGGAGCUCCGGGACCAGCCCCACCGGUAAAGUUAUUUCUUCAGGCUCAGGCGUCUUCUUGUCUUUUGCUCAUUUCCAUGCAUUUGGACCAACACAUUGGUCUGCAUUUGCACCUUGUCUCCCUCCUUCUUUGUGUUGCCGGGGUUAG